GCGGGAGUAGUUCAGCGGUAGAACGCAGGCUUCCCAAGCCUGAUGUCGCGGGUUCGAUCCCCGUCUCCCGCUCCA
rnacentral:tRNA from 1 species